UAUAAAGUUUCUAAAAUGAUAACUGAUGAGCCAUUUUGAAGAGAGGUUAGAUGAAUGCAUUUUAAGGCUAUGAAUUUGCUUUGUCUGAUGAAGAUGUUGAUGUUAAAUGGCUCUACUACUGCAAUGCAAAGACUCGAGAACUGGACAGCCUUUUAGGAGCUAUUUAUCAUAAGAUCCUAGGGAAUGUUCCUAUCAUUAAGGACCAAAUUAUUCAGGGAAAAGCAUAUAAUAUAAAGCAGGUAGCAUUAAAUUGUUAUUCUUUCCCACGUUGGAAGUUCUGCUCCAGAAGAUGCCACGAAUUUGAGUUUAACAUAUAGUAAUCUACACCUUGGGAAGGAAGCUUAUGAAUGCUGAACAAUCCACGUUUAUGAUUGAUCUACACAAAGUUGGAAUGAUGCUAAGA
rnacentral:lncRNA from 1 species